GUUUACGGUCACACCAGCCUGAAUGUGUGCCUGAUCCCAUCCGAUCUCGGAUGCUAACCAGGCUCGGGCCGAUCAGUACUGGGCAAGGCGGGGUCCUGGGAACAACCGGUGCCGUCAGCU
rnacentral:rRNA from 1 species